rnacentral:rRNA from 1 species
UUAACACAUGCGAAGUACGAGACGAAGACGAUAAGGUGAAAGUUUUUCGGUAAUGAAGCCAUAUUGACUUAGCGGGCGGAACGGGUGUAGGUAACGCGUGGGGUAACCGUAGCCUCAUACUAGGGGGAGUAACAGUUAGAAAUGACUGCUAAUACCGCAUAAGCGCACGGGACUGCAUGGUCCAGUGUAGAAAAACCGAGGUGGUAUGAGAUGGACCCGCGUCUGAUUAGCUGUUGCGGGGUAACGGCCCACCAAGGCGACGAUCAGUAGCCGACCUGAGAGGGUGGCCGGCCACAUUGGGACUGAGACACGGCCCAAACUCCUACGGGAGGCAGCAGUGGGGAAUAUUGCACAAUGGGGGAAACCCUGAUGCAGCAACGCCGCGUGAGUGAAGAAGUUAUUUCGGUAUGUAAAGCUCUAUCAGCAGGGAAGAGAAUGACGGUACCUGACUAAGAAGCCCCGGCUAACUACGUG